rnacentral:snoRNA from 1 species
UCACAAGCCACGAGGAGGAGCGGGGUGUUCUCUCCUGAGCGCGAAGCGGGCGGGCGGUGCUGCUUGUGCAGGGGCCGCUCGCCAUUGAUGACCGUUCUCGGUGCCCUUUGUGGUGCCGGGAGGGAGAGAACACGGGCUGAGUGGU